CUAAACGACUCUCGGCAACGGAUAUCUCGGCUCUCGCAACGAUGAAGAACGUAGCGAAAUGCGAUACUUGGUGUGAAUUGCAGAAUCCCGUGAACCAUCGAGUUUUUGAACGCAAGUUGCGCCCAAAGCCUCUUGGCCGAGGGCACGCCUGCCUGGGCGUCACGCAU
rnacentral:rRNA from 1 species